rnacentral:rRNA from 1 species
AGUGAACGCUGGCGGUAGGCCUAACACAUGCAAGUCGAACGGCAGCACAGUAAGAGCUUGCUCUUACGGGUGGCGAGUGGCGGACGGGUGAGGAAUACAUCGGAAUCUACUUUUUCGGGGGGGAUAACGUAGGGAAACUUACGCUAAUACCGCAUACGACCUACGGGUGAAAGCAGGGGAUCUUCGGACCUUGCGCGAUUGAAUGAGCCGAUGUCGGAUUAGCUAGUUGGCGGGGUAAAGGCCCACCAAGGCGACGAUCCGUAGCUGGUCUGAGAGGGUGAUCAGCCACACUGGAGCUGAGACACGGUCCAGACUCCUACGGGAGGCAGCAGUGGGGAAUAUUGGACAAUGGGCGCAAGCCUGAUCCAGCCAUACCGCGUGGGUGAAGAAGGCCUUCGGGUUGUAAAGCCCUUUUGUUGGGAAAGAAAAGCAGCAGGUUAAUACCCCGCUGUUCUGACGGUACCCAAAGAAUAAGCACCGGCUAACUUCGUG